rnacentral:rRNA from 1 species
AGAGUUUGAUCAUGGCUCAGGACGAACACUGGCGGCGUGCCUAAUACAUGCAAGUCGAGCGAACUGAUUAGAAGCUUGCUUCUAUGACGUUAGCGGCGGACGGGUGAGUAACACGUGGGCAACCUGCCUGUAAGACUGGGAUAACUUCGGGAAACCGAAGCUAAUACCGGAUAGGAUCUUCUCCUUCAUGGGAGAUGAUUGAAAGAUGGUUUCGGCUAUCACUUACAGAUGGGCCCGCGGUGCAUUAGCUAGUUGGUGAGGUAACGGCUCACCAAGGCAACGAUGCAUACCCGACCUGAGAGGGUGAUCGGCCACACUGGGACUGAGACACGGCCCAGACUCCUACGGGAGGCAGCAGUAUGGAAUCUUCCGCAAUGGACGAAAGUCUGACGGAGCAACGCCGCGUGAGUGAUGAAGGCUUUCGGGUCGUAAAACUCUGUUGUUAGGGAAGAACAAGUACGAGAGUAACUGCUCGCACCUUGACGGUACCUAACCAGAAAGCCACGGCUAACUACGUGCCAGCAGCCGCGGUAAUACGUAGGUGGCAAGCGUUAUCCGGAAUUAUUGGGCGUAAAGCGCGCGCAGGCGGUUUCUUAAGUCUGAUGUGAAAGCCCACGGCUCAACCGUGGAGGGUCAUU